GAUGAACGCUAGCGGCAGGCCUAGCACAUGCAAGUCGAGGGGCAGCACAGAAACAGCAAUGUUUUGGUGGCGACCGGCGGACGGGCGCGUAACGCGUAUGCAACCUACCUUUAACAGGGGGAUAACGGAGAGAAAUUUCCACUAAUACCCCAUAACAUCGAACAAGGCAUCUUGAUUGGUGGAAAACUCCGGUGGUUAAAGAUGGGCAUGCGUUGUAUUAGGUAGUUGGUGAGGUAAUGGCUCACCAAGCCUACGAUACAUAGGGGGACUGAGAGGUUAGCCCCCCACACUGGUACUGAGACAUGGACCAGACUCCUACGGGAGGCAGCAGUGAGGAAUAUUGGUCAAUGGGGGCAACCCUGAACCAGCCAUGCCGCGUGCAGGAAGACGGCUCUAUGAGUUGUAAACUGCUUUUAAACAGGGAUAAAGCACAGUAUGUAUACUGUGUUGAAGGUACUGUAAGAAUAAGGAUCGGCUAACUCCGUGCCAGCCGCCGCCGUAA
rnacentral:rRNA from 1 species